CUUCUCUCUCCCGCCUAACCCUUCCCAAACCUGCAAAUGCCAGAAGUCUUCUAAGAAACAAGGCACUUCCUACUGAUGUGACUGGCCUCAGGGGAGCUUGAUCGACUCUGUAUCUUCCAUUUGACCCAGAGUCACUCUGGGGGAGCCUUAAUAUGCUUUAAAGAACACAUUCUUAUAAAGCUAGUAUUCAUGUAUUAGUUGCAUAACUUUUUAAAACCACAAUGUGUAAAAGUGUGUCCGGUCCACGCUUUCCUAACUUGCCGGCUGCCUAGCUGAAGUACCCAUGCAUAGGGUUCGUGUCCCUGUGCAACGCACAUGCAGGGUUAAGNCCACAAUGUGUAAAAGUGUGUCCGGUCCACGCUUUCCUAACUUGCCGGCUGCCUAGCUGAAGUACCCAUGCAAUAGGGUUCGUGUCCCUGUGCAACGCACAUGCAGGGUUAAGUGUUGAUGGUCUGAAACUGCAGUGCACUCAGGGGCCACCUGCCAGCACCCAUGGCUGAUCUGGCCAAGCCGGUCAGCACCUCUGUCCUUCCUUCAUAUAGCCAUAUAUCCUGACCCAGAAGACGUCUGCCAUUCUGAGGACAACCUUCUCAGUGUAAGAUACCCUUCCUUGAUCAGGGGCAUAGGAAAUGCUCCACUUCCCUGCUAGGACCCUCAGGGGAGUCUGUCAUUUAGAAAGCUAAGGAGCCAUUCCUAGCUCCAUAGCAUAAACAGUUUCUGGUUAUGACUACCCCCUACUGUGGUAACAUGGGUGUCUGACCUUUUAAGAAAAACUCUGAGACUAGACAUUCAAGUUGUGACCAGAUUAAAACCCCAAGGGCUUGAUUAUCCUCUUACUAUGUAUCUUCUUUUAUCUAUCCAUCNAUCCAUCCAUCCAUCCCCAUCUAUCUAUAUAUAUCUUCUCCUUUCUCUUCAUUCCAUCAUAAAGUAACAAGGAUAUAGUCCUGAGGGGCUUCCCAUAUCAAUAAAGAUGAUAAUGUAAACUACAUUAACUAUAUUGUACAUAUACCCUUUGAGUUUGACAAAA
rnacentral:lncRNA from 1 species